UACUAAUCUCCACAUUUAUUGUUUAGGUAAAUAGAUGCUGCUUUUAAUCAGUAUGGAGGGCCAGACCAACGCAGGUUGAAGUAACUUAAGUCAACUGUAAAGGGUUCAAUGUGUGUAUAAUUACAGAGGACAUCAGCUAUUCACUCCAGUCUAAUUCAGUGUCUGUUUAGAGACAGAGCUCUUCUUUCCCCUGCUCCCUCUCUCACCUGAUUUGAGCCCCACUGUUCCACAAAGCCAGCAAGGAGAACCCAGUGGAGGCCAAGCCAGCAGCAGCCCUCCUGAACUUCAGGCUGGAUUCAUUCGGUGGAUUGGAACUCCUAGUUACAGAAAUCUCUCCAUGCUGACUUUUCCAUAUGUAAACAACCUAUGCAGCAUUUUGUAAUGUAAAACAAAUGUGUGGGGGACGUGCUGAUUUCCAGUACACAGAGAUGCAAUACCAGGAGUAGCUGUGGUACCAUUCCAUGAAGCAAAAGGAGCACAGGAACACUUCUUUGUGCCAGAGCUACAUACUGAAGAUGCUACAAAAUGUGAUUUAUUGCCACAUGAGGGAUGGACUGAACCCACAGAAUACCGAUGUUCUAAUGGUGUGCAAAAACUCACAAUAUCUGGAAUUUUGCAGCUCCAAGACCGAAAUUUUGCAAACACUAAUUAUUUGCAGAUGUUGCCUUACCUUACUUGCAAGUGUGAGUGUCUGCACACUCACACUUGUAACUGCAGAAGGGAGAGGGAGGGGAUCUCUGUAAAUAAACUGCUUAAGU